CCACCCAGUUUGGACAUUAGCAGGGCAAGAUCAUGCAGGAACAUGGGCUUCCUCAAUUCUCCAGGGAUUCUGAGAAGUUUUUAAGACUUGAGGUCUGAUCUUCACCUACUGUCAUAGAUUUAAAAGUCAGCAGUGAUGGUCAUGAUCAUCUAAUUUAACUUCCUGAAUAACCUAAGCGGUGGGAUUGCCUUCAUGAAUCGUUGCUGCAAGGGGCUAUGAUCAAGUCAGAUGAUCUUUUUUGGAAUGAACUCUUGGAAUCUUUCACCACAAACAUGUUUUCCUGCACUUUACUUAUUCAUUUAUUUCUUCUCAGUGCUCUUUGAUUCUUUAUCAUUCAUGAAUUGUAAAUGCCAGAGCUGUGGGCAUAUUUCAGGAACAGUAACACCAAUAACAGGUAAAAAGGUAAAAGAGCCUGGAGAUUCUGUUGCUUACAUACCCCAAGAUUACACUGGCCCCUUUAGUUAACUUAUUGUGUGGGAGAAUAAUUUUCAUCCACAGCCCACGGGUAUUUUUCAAAGUCAGUGCUCUCCAGGAUAGAUUCCUCAUCAUGUUACUGUGGCCUGCAUACUUCGUUUUCAGAUUUGUGAUUUUAUAUUUGGUCCUACUGAAACAUGUACU